rnacentral:lncRNA from 1 species
UUGUAAAAUAUGUCUCUUCCUUACGUCUCUUCUCUCACUGCUUGAAAAUGUAAAAAAGAGAUAACUCCCCUUGCCUUUGUCUUACAUGUGCAGGAUUGCAAACUCAGAUGCCUACUUGGCCAACCCCAGAGAGGGCUGUCCAAAGUUGGGGGACACGUGGCCAUGAAAGGGGCUGCAGAGACUAGUUAAACUUGUUACUGUGCGAACUCUGCCGGCUGUUGCCUUUCCUUGGCUUCCUUCUCAACUCCAUGUUUACAGACCUGCCCCAAAGCAACCACAUUCUUACAAUCAGUCUUCACUCUAUCCAUACUGAUGGCCUGAGCAAGAGAGGAAGCAGGGGCCCAGACUGGUCAUUUCCAAAGUGAGAUGCACACUCCUGGCGUAGGAGGGGAGCAAGACGUCCCAUUUGGUGUGGAAACUGCUACUAGAAAAUUUCUACUAAUUUUGUCUUAAAAAAAAAAUAAAGCUUUACCAAAAUUUCA